rnacentral:rRNA from 1 species
UACGGAGGGUGCAAGCGUUGUUCGGAAUUACUGGGCGUAAAGCGUGUUUAGGUGGAUCUGCAAGUCAGGUGUAAAAUCCCCCGGCUCAACUGGGGAACGCCGCUUGAUACUACAGAUCUUGAGUUCCGGGGAGGUGAGUGGAAUUCCCAGUGUAGAGGUGAAAUUCGUAGAGAUUGGGAGGAACACCGGAGGCGAAAGCGACUCACUAACCGGAUACUGACACUGCCACACGAAAGCGUGGGUAGCAAACAGG